AUAAUGAAGUAAAAAUUUACUUUUAGUUUCGACCUAAAAAUUAAGGUAUCAUACCUCUUAUCUA
rnacentral:tRNA from 1 species